AGUUCGGGACUGCCAUCUCUAAUUAACAUGCAGGGAAAUGAGGAAAUGGAGUUUCCAGAGCUUUCGUUGCUUUUCCAAAUCCCAAAGCCAAGUCGCCCUGGUCGUCCAGCUGCUUCCUGCCUGCAGAGGCUGGGCAAGUUCUUGGAGUUUUCCAUGGUGAUUUUGAGACAGCAGCAAAGUCUCUUUAGGAGAAGAAAAGUGGACAUAAAUUAUUCGAUAGUCAAUCUGGGUUCCUUCAGAGCUCUCCGGCAGCCGGACCACGUCAUCUAGAUGUCUGGCUUUUGGUACCCAUGUAAAAAGAAACUUCAUUAUUGAAUUAAAAUAUAUUUGUAUUCUGCACCCCA